CCUACGGGGGGCAGCAGUCGAGAAUCAUUCACAAUGGGGGAAACCCUGAUGGUGCGACGCCGCGUGGGGGAAUGAAGGUCUUCGGAUUGUAAACCCCUGUCAUGUGGGAGCAAAUUAAAAAGAUAGUACCACAAGAGGAAGAGACGGCUAACUCUGUGCCAGUAGCCGCGGUAAUACAGAGGUCUCAAGCGUUGUUCCGAAUCACUGGGCGUAAAGCGUGCGUAGGCUGUUUCGUAAGUCGUGUGUGAAAGGCGCGGGCUCAACCCGCGGACGGCACAUGAUACUGCGAGACUAGAGUAAGGGAGGGGGAAGCGGAAUUCUCGGUGUAGCAGUGAAAUGCGUAGAUAUCGAGAAGAACACUCGUGGCGAAGGCGGGUUCCUGGACAUUCACUGACGCUGAGGCACGAAGGCCAGGGGAGCGAAAGGGAUUAGAUACCCUGGUAGUC
rnacentral:rRNA from 1 species